rnacentral:tRNA from 1 species
GAGGGUACAGCUCAAUGGUAGAGUACAUGCUUAACAUGCAGAAGGUCCUGGGUUCAAUCCCUAGUACCUCCA